GCCGGGGUGGCCGAGUCAGGUCUAAGAGGUGGGUUUCCCAAUCCCGUCCCCGUAUGGGGGCGUGGGUUCAAAUCCCACCCCCGGCGCCA
rnacentral:tRNA from 1 species